rnacentral:rRNA from 1 species
ACGAACGCUGGCGGCGCGCCUAACACAUGCAAGUCGAACGGUGAAGAGGAGCUUGCUCCUCGGAACAGUGGCGGACGGGUGAGUAACACGUGAGCAACCUGGCUCUAAGAGGGGGACAACAGUUGGAAACGACUGCUAAUACCGCAUGACGUAUCGGGAUGGCAUCUUCCUGAUACCAAAGAUUUUAUCGCUUAGAGAUGGGCUCGCGUCUGAUUAGAUAGUUGGCGGGGUAACGGCCCACCAAGUCGACGAUCAGUAGCCGGACUGAGAGGUUGAACGGCCACAUUGGGACUGAGGCACGGCCCAGACUCCUACGGGAGGCAGCAGUGGGGGAUAUUGGACAAUGGGGGCAACCCUGAUCCAGCGACGCCGCGUGAGGGAAGAAGGUUUUCGGAUUGUAAACCUCUGUUGACGGAGAAAAAAAUGAUGGUAUCCGUUUAGAAAGCCACGGCUAACUACGUG